GGCCGCUGGCUCCGCGCCCCAGUUGCCUCCCAUUGCUCACCACUUGCUCGCCGAGCCCCGAGCACGCCGCGCACGCGCAGGCCCGCACGGCCAAGGAGACAUGGGUACCAGAUUUCAUGUCACGUGGCAGACCUUGUCCUCCUUUGAGCUUACGUGUGAAGACUUCAAGAACUACAUUUACUAGGUGUGGAGAGAGUGGACAACUUUGUCUUCUUGCUGCAAGUCACCUUUAUUGUGUUGAGGUUAAAGCAUUAAAGAAGAUGAGGAGACAUGGUCAACCAGAAGCAGCCCAACCUGAAAUGUGCCACGUGUUGCCUCCUAAUCCAAGAAGAACUAAAUGGGCCUUGGUGUGGGAGGCUGCCUCAACUCCACACCUUCCUUCUCCGUACUGACAGCCUCUCUGCAAGGGCCCGUGUCUACCAGAUCCUCUCUUCUCCCUGGCUCUCAAGCCUGGACACUUUCUUAAGGAGCAGGCCUGGGUAAAGGACUGUGAUAAAAACAAUUUUUUUU